UUGCAGCUAUUUACUAGCUGUUCCCAUUCCAGGAUUGAACAUGAAGUGUGACUAGCUUAAUCCUGGGUCUUAAACAGAACCUGCCAAAUUUGAUUAGUAAUACGCAGAUGCCCCAACUGAGAUCAUAGCCCCAUUGCACAAAAAGAUCAGAAAGUCUGCAACAUGCUUCAUAAUGGACUGAUAGGUGUUAUUUGAGACAUGAUCAAGCCAGUUUCCAACAAAGUUACAUAGCGUAUUAGUCCAUCCACAAGUAAUAGGUCUGCUGCCAGCCCUGGAGCCAAGACACCACUGAGAACCUUUUCUUCUAAAAGUGGAAUCUUAUCCCUCACUGCUAAAUGACUCCGAAAAUGGUCCAGCAUAUUUUCUUGGAUUAGAUUCCACAUCCAC